rnacentral:pre_miRNA from 1 species
AGGAGGAACAACCGCAGUGGCGGGGCCAGCUCUGGAAACCUGGAUUCAGCCCCUGCAGGAACUCUGGAGCUCUCCGUCUGCAGGGCCUGGAGGCUCCGGGGCGGG